AUUGAACGCUGGCGGCAUGCUUUACACAUGCAAGUCGAACGGUAACAGGGUGCUUGCACCGCUGACGAGUGGCGAACGGGUGAGUAAUGCGUCGGAACGCACCGAGUAAUGGGGGAUAACGCAGCGAAAGCUGUGCUAAUACCGCAUACGCUCUGAGGAGGAAAGCGGGGGACCUUCGGGCCUCGCGUUAUUCGAGCGGCCGACGUCUGAUUAGCUAGUAGGUGAGGUAAGAGCUCACCUAGGCGACGAUCAGUAGCGGGUCUGAGAGGAUGAUCCGCCACACUGGGACUGAGACACGGCCCAGACUCCUACGGGAGGCAGCAGUGGGGAAUUUUGGACAAUGGGCGCAAGCCUGAUCCAGCCAUGCCGCGUGUCUGAAGAAGGCCUUCGGGUUGUAAAGGACUUUUGUCAGGGAGGAAAUCCUUAGCGCUAAUACCGUUGAGGGAUGACAGUACCUGAAGAAUAAGCACCGGCUAACUACGUGCCAGCCGCCGCGGUAA
rnacentral:rRNA from 1 species